GAGGAGAAGAGGCAGUAGUGGAGAAGAGGAGAAGAGGCAGUAGUGGAGAAGAGGAGAAGAGGCAGUAGUGGAGAAGAGGAGAAGAGGCAGUAGUGGAGAAGAGGCAGUAGUGGAGAAGAGGAGAAGAGGCAGUAGUGGUGAAGAGGAGAAGAGGCAGUAGUGGAGAAGAAGAGAAGAGACAGUAGUGGAGAAGAGGAGAAGAGGAGAAGAGGCAGUAGUGGAGAAGAUGAGAAGAGGCAGUAGUGGAGAAGAGGCAGUAGAGGAGAAGAGGCAGUAGAGGAGAAGAGGAGAAGAGGCAGUAGUGGAGAAGAGGCAGUAGAGGAGAAGAGGAGAAGAGGCAGUAGUGGAGAAGGGGAGAAGAGGCAGUAGUGGAGGAGAAGAUGCAGUAGAGGAGAAGAGGAGAAGAGGCAGUAGUGGAGAAGAGGAGAAGAGGCAGUAGUGGAGAAGAGGCAGUAGAGGAGAAAAGGAGAAGAUGCAGUAGAGGAGAAGAGGAGAAGAGGCAGUAGAGGAGAAGAGGAGAAGAGGCAGUAGUGGAGAAGAGGAGAAGAGGCAGUAGUGGAGAAGAGGAGAAGAGGCAGUAGUGGAGAAGAGGAGAAGAGGCAGUAGAGGAGAAGAGGCAUUACUUUCACUAAAGACAAUUAUUUGCGUUUCCAAGACUACAUUACAGUUGAAUAUGUGCUACAUAACCCACAACAUAUUGUAAUGUAUUAACACAUGAAUCUGAUAAUCUGUGUUGCAUCUGAAUUAUGUUCAGGGCAGAGGAAAACAUACUGAAGCACUCAGCCAGAUCUCAACAAAAUCAGGCCACAAAGUGACUUUUGUGCUUCUAAACUUGUCUUUUCAAUGUGAUUUUCAUAUUCUGAUAGCAGAAGUCGCAUGUAAGUGUCAAGUGUAGACAUGACCUAAGUAGCCCAGAGAGCUUUUGUCAUGUAGGACAGUGUUCUCCAACUGGCGGCUGAAUUUGGGCCGUGUACUGUUUUAUUUUAAAAUCUCUGAAUAUUAUGUUGUUGAACAGAAAUGUAUAAACUGUAAGAUCACCAGGCAAUCAGCUCCAAGUGAUUUUCAUUUAGGAAAUCUGUUCCCAAGUAUUCUCAUGCGUAAUAGAGAGACAUGUGUCUGUGUGUGUCUGUGUGUCUGUGUGUCUGUGUGUGUGUG
ensembl:lncRNA